rnacentral:snoRNA from 1 species
GACUUCCUGGUGCUUACCAUAAGCUGUGUUCUAAUAUUGACUGCAGAGAAGGAGGUGGCAUAAACCUGACAACAUACACAAUUCGGCCCAGAGAGUAGAGAAGG